UUCAUUGGGAACCUCGAGGGAAUUACUUAUUUUCUGGAUAACAUUUCAAUUUUUUACAGAUAUUUUUUUAAAUAUGUCGGUGAUAUAUCAAAAAUAUCAUAAAUGUUGGAGAUAUUCCCUAAAUAUCGGUGAUAUUUGACGAUAUUUCCUAAAUAUCGGAGAAAUAUCGUAGAUACGGUGGAAGAUAAGAUAUUGACCCCUAUAAAUAUGUCGGUCAUUCGAAAAAGAGAGACAUCGAAGGAUAUAUCAGAUAUAUCGCAGAGAUUUUAAUCCUUGCCUAAACCCUAAAUCCCAAAUCAAAAUUCUCUCUCAGAUCGCAUCUCUCUUAUUCUCUCGUCCUCUCUCAGUCCGCAUCUCUAUAAUUCUCUCAUCCUCUUAUUCCUUUGAUUCAUUCCGAGCUAACGAGCUCAUCGCAUCUCUCUGAUUCUCUCUACUCAUCUCUCUCUGGGCCUCUGAUUCGAAGCAGAUUGGUCGCCAAAGGGUUAGGAUGAGCGGCAACGCAAUUGGUAGGGGUACAAUAGGAAAGGGGUGCAAGCUAGACAAGAAAAUGGUUUCAAUUAAGGACUGGAGGCAACAACAACCCCAAUAGAGCUUACUGGAAGCUCUGGACAAAAUGUGUAGCAACAGGC